rnacentral:ncRNA from 2 species
GUGCGGUAUGACACCAUCGGUGCCGAAGGCGACUGCGGAUCGAGGAAGCCGGUGCGAAUCCGGCACGGUCCCGCCACUGUGAUCGAUGCCCGCGGGGCGUCGAGAGUCAGACACUCACCGCAGUCACCACCUCGCA